rnacentral:tRNA from 1 species
UGGCUCAGUCAGUAGAGCAUAGGACUCCUGAUCUCAGGGUCAUGGGUUCAAACCCCAU